rnacentral:rRNA from 1 species
UACGUAGGGGGCAAGCGUUGUCCGGAAUUACUGGGCGUAAAGCGUGCGCAGGCGGCUUCUCAAGUCAGGGGUGAAAGCCCAGAGCUCAACUCUGGAACUGCCUUUGAGACUGAGAGGCUUGAGUACGGGAGAGGUGAGUGGAAUUCCCAGUGUAGAGGUGAAAUUCGUAGAUAUUGGGAAGAACACCGGUGGCGAAGGCGGCUCACUGGCCCGAAACUGACGCUCAUGCACGACAGCGUGGGGAUCAAACAGG